rnacentral:rRNA from 1 species
GAUGAACGCUGGCGGCGUGCCAAAUACAUGCAAGUCGAGCGAACAGAUAAGGAGCUUGCUCCUUUGACGUUAGCGGCGGACGGGUGAGUAACACGUGGGUAACCUACCUAUAAGACUGGGAUAACUUCGGGAAACCGGAGCUAAUACCGGAUAACAUUUGGAACCGCAUGGUUCUAAAGUGAAAGAUGGUUUUGCUAUCACUUAUAGAUGGACCCGCGCCGUAUUAGCUAGUUGGUAAGGUAACGGCUUACCAAGGCGACGAUACGUAGCCGGCCUGAGAGGGUGUUCGGCCACACUGGAUCUAAGCGACGGUCCAGACUCGUACGGGAGACAGCAGGAGGGAAUCUGAGGCAAGGGGCGAGAGCCUGACGGAGCAAUGCCGCGUGAGUGAUGAAGGGUUUCGGCUCGUAAAACUCUGUUAUUAGGUAAGAACAAAUGUGUAAGUAACUGCGCUCGUCUUGACGGUACCUAAUCAGAAAGCCACGGCUAACUACAUGCCAGCAGCCGCAGAAA